GGACUGCGGAAGGAUCAUUACCGAGCUGAGGGCCCUCUGGGUCCAACCUCCCACCCGUGUCUAUCGUACCUUGUUGCUUCGGCGGGCCCGCCGUUUCGACGGCCGCCGGGGAGGCCUCGCGCCCCCGGGCCCGCGCCCGCCGAAGACCCCAACAUGAACGCUGUUCUGAAAGUAUGCAGUCUGAGUUGAUUAUCAUAAUCAGUUAAAACUUUCAACAACGGAUCUCUUGGUUCCGGCAUCGAUGAAGAACGCAGCGAAAUGCGAUAAGUAAUGUGAAUUGCAGAAUUCAGUGAAUCAUCGAGUCUUUGAACGCACAUUGCGCCCCCUGGUAUUCCGGGGGGCAUGCCUGUCCGAGCGUCAUUGCUGCCCUCAAGCACGGCUUGUGUGUUGGGCCCCGUCCCCUCCCCCGGGGACGGGCCCGAAAGGCAGCGGCGGCACCGCGUCCGAUCCUCGAGCGUAUGGGGCUUUGUCACCCGCUCUGUAGGCCCGGCCGGCGCCAGCCGACACCCAACUUUUAUUUCUAAGGUUGACCUCGGAUCAGGUAGGGAUACCCGCUGAACUUAAGCAUAUCAUAAGGCCGGAGGAA
rnacentral:rRNA from 1 species